CGCGUAGGCGGCCUGAUAAGUAGGGGGUGAAAUUCCGUGGCUCAACCACGGAACUGCCUUCUAAACUGCCAGGCUUGAGCACGGUAGAGGCAGAUGGAAUUCCCGGUGUAGCGGUGGAAUGCGUAGAGAUCGGGAAGAACACCAGUGGCGAAGGCGGUCUGCUGGGCCGUUGCUGACGCUGAGGCGCGACAGCGUGGGGAGCAAACAGGAUUAGAUACCCUGGUAGUCCACGCCGUAAACGAUGGGCACUAGGCGUCGGGGGGAGCGACCCUCCCGGUGCCGUAGCUAACGCUCUAAGUGCCCCGCCUGGGGAGUACGGCCGCAAGGCUGAA
rnacentral:rRNA from 1 species